AGGUCAAAUACGUCAGGGAGCUGCGCCUGUUUUGCCACAUCUACAAUUCUUUUUCAGCAAACCACCAUUCUGUCAGUUGUUCUGACAGAGGGCUUUAUUCUAAAACAUUUUCCAGCCAAACUGAGUCAUGGGAAACAAGAGAACUAAGACAGUGGAGGACAGUACUGACAGUGAUGGCAGCUAUAAUGAACGGCGUCUAGACUUUGCUGAUGAAGGAGAACUUUCUGAUGACCUCCUCGACUGCAGCAAAGAGUUCAUAAAACUUUAUGAACAACAUCAGCCUAAACUUCAACAAAUCAACCAGCUGUCAGCGUACAAUGAGGAGUUUUCUGAUGAAUUCAGCAGAACAACUGAAGUCAUGAGAAGAGCAGUAACUGGACUUUUAGGUGCAGCUUUAGUUGGUGUUCUGAUUACCUUCAUUGCUUGUGCUUCUUUGUUAUGACAGGAUCAUUGGUUCUGGUAGUAGUUCUGGCAUUGAUAUUGACAAAAAACACUGGAUAGGGCAGACACUAUGAGGUGGACACUGAGACUUCAGCAGCAUCAGGUAUGGCAUGGGCAGUGGGUGUAACGGGCAGUGGUAUGUGUAGUGGGUGUUUUAGGGGGUGCAAGUAUGUCUCUGUGUGUGUGUGUGUGUGUUAGUGGGUAUGAAAUCAGCAGCUACUAGUAGUACCUGAAGUAGAAAGACUCCCAUUUAAUAAAAACAAACAAAAAGAGAAGAAGCUCCUACAGGAGG